AAAAAAAGACAUAAAGGAAACGUUGUUGCCGCCAUUUCACGUGCGUGCAGCGCGGGCUAUCGACGUGCAGUAGUGAAAGAGCUUUCUAAAAGGUUAAAAGUUAGACGAGGUAGAUCAUUUAGGGCUUAGAAACAGGAAAACAAAGGCUUUACCAACGCGGUAGAGCCUCCGGGUUUUUGUUUUUGUCGGCGCGUUGUGUUCCCGCAGACGGAGAGAUGAGCUACGGAAGGCCGCCGCCUGACGUGGAGGGGAUGACCUCCCUCAAAGUGGACAACCUGACUUAUCGGACGUCGCCCGAGACUCUGCGCCGAGUGUUUGAGAAAUACGGCCGGGUAGGGGACGUGUACAUCCCGAGGGACAGGUACACCAAGGAGAGCCGCGGCUUCGCCUUCGUCCGCUUCCACGACAAGCGCGACGCCGAGGACGCCAUGGACGCCAUGGACGGCGCGCUCCUCGACGGGCGGGAGCUCCGCGUGCAGAUGGCGCGCUACGGCCGCCCGCCGGACUCCCACUACGGCCGGAGAGGCGGCGUGCCGCCCCGCAGAUACGGAGGGUACGGUCGCAGAAGCAGGAGCCGGUCAGCCAGCCCUCGUCGCCGCAGACGCAGCCGAUCCAGGAGCAGAAGCCGUUCCCGAUCCAGGAGCCGUUCCCGCUACAGCCGCUCCAGGUCCCGUUCCUACUCCAGAUCCAGGUCCAAGUCCAAGUCCAGAAGCCCCCGCAGGAGUAAAACCAAGUCUCCCUCCAGGUCACGGUCACGCUCCAAGUCCAAGUCCCGCAGUCGAACGCCGCCCUCUAAUAGAGGGUCCAAAUCCAGAUCCCGGUCCAAGAGCAGGCCCAAAUCCCCAGAGGACAACGGAACUGAGUCAUAACCCAAACCUGGACACAAUGAGACGCUGCGGAGUCCUGUUUGCAAAGAGAGGAGUUGGGGGUGUGGCAGUGUGAGAGCAGUUAGUGUGUGACCCGCCCAUGUGAUCUGCCUGUUGCUGAGGGCGAUGGCAGUUGCUAAGGAGCAGGUCACCCAGGCAACGGUGGUUGCUAUGGAGCAGGUCGUCAUGGCGGUGGUUCGGGCUGUCAGGUGGUGUAUGAGGUGGUGUGGUGAGGUACGUUCACAGGAUCACAGGCAGACGCACUGAGCGCUGCACCGUCUGUGUCUGUGGUUUCCCCCCGGCCACGCGACAACGGGAAUGGAUCCCGAGAUCUCAUAGGAUUGAGUCUUUGCUGCGGACAUCAGGAAGAGCCAAACACUGAGCAAGUGGACUCCCAACAUACACCCACUGAAUACAGACCCAAAGGUUAUUUGGAAUUUGGUCUACAAUGUUUUAAUUGAUUCAUUUGAUUUAAUUUGCCCAAACAAAUUCUGUAUUGUUGUGUACAUGAUAAGUGUUCAUUUAGGUGAGCGUAUUGAAAGGGAUUUGUCAGGUGGUUUUCUCCCUUUGAGUGAAAUUUUAUUGCAAAUUGAAUUUGUACCUCCUUGUUAAUAAAUUUUCUUUUUUGAAUUGCGUAGAUUUGUAGAUUCGUCAAAUCCUUUUUUGUUUAAUUCUCUUCCAAGAUGUAUUACUGUUUUAUUUGCGGCGUUGAUGUAGAAAGUGGUGUCAUGUUGGACAUGUAGAUCCUUAAAUGUAUACCACUGUUCUAGGGAAUAAAUGUGGCAUAAUGUACAGUAACAGCAAAAUGUUAAAGAAACCAUCAGUGCUACCCAUUUUAACUCUGCUAAUCUGACAGCAUAGCAUUUUCUUUUUCUCUCUGUCAAAUUUCUUUUUCUGUCUGGUUAAAUUUGCUUUCCUGUGACUCUAACCCUCUUUCUUGUGUAUCUUUUGUGCACUAGGCGCAGUUGUGUAGCAGUUGAGUAAUGCUGGUUAGCUGUUAAGAUGCGGUGCAGUGCGGUGGUGAGAUGGUGUGGCGUGUUGCGGUGCUGAGUGCCCGGCGCUUUUUCCGGGGCUCGACCCUCCGCUGCCGUUUGCCGGUUUGUAAGAUCACAGGUGUGGCAGAUCAUCCAUCUUCUCCUGUCUUGUGACCUCCUUCCCUUCCAUGUGUUGUACAAAUACUCCUCUCCUACUCCUCCCUCUCCUCCUCUCCCUAGCCUCUCUCCCUUUCCUCUGUGGUUUAUCCACUGCUAAUGCUGGUGUUGCUUGCUUCUGGAAAAAAAAAAGGGGGUCCAGUAUGACUCCCAGUGAAGGGUUGAGAGUGCAGUUCCAGCUGCUUUAAUAAAUUUUGUGUAUUGCAUUCCUAUGUGAACCUUUCAAAUGUCUUGUAAAUGCUUCAGGUGAAUGCUAAUAAAAAUCUUUUGUGGUAAAUAA